UCCGGUUUUACGGUGAAUCAUCAACGUUUCCCGCCGUGCUCCGCCGACGCGCAAUAAAAACAAAAAGUCUCGCAAGUCAACUCGGCGCAUCUGUCUGGCACACCCGGGCCAGAACUGUACCACGGAUACUUCCAAAAUGGAGGACUUGCUGACCGAAGGAUGCGGAACAUGAGCGGCAGGCCGUGCGUGAGCAGCUCGUCCGUGUACUGGUCCUCGCCGAUGCAGGCGAAAUCCUUCAGCAGGCCCUGGAUCAGCGGGCGGCGCUGCUGCGCGAAGCCGGUCCGCAGCGACUCCAGCCACGUGUGCAGCGUCCACGGAACGCCUGCCCACGACAACCGCGCGCUCAGCGACUAAUCGGGAGGCCGCGACGAGAGCGCGGCGCUGCCUCGAGAUACGAGUGGAAUCUCUUCGGAAGUCGCUCUUUGCAGAGGAUAAAGAAUAUACGGAUGGGUCGAAAGACCCCUGGAAAUGACCGCUACAAAGCAAAACGGCCAACUUCCUGUGCGGCUUCCCAAAACUUUUUCGUGGGUCUCGUCACGCCAGACACGUUUACUUCCCGAGGUCAAAGUGCCUUCGGCGGCUGAAAUCUGAUGCGAUUUCAUUUGUUGGGGUGAACUGCUGAUUUAAGCUCGCGCACUCGAAGAGGCGAUCGACGUUGCGAUGGACACGAGUGACCCGCGAGACGCACUCUCGGGGAACGGCGAGGACGGCAAAACAAACGGCGGCGGCGACAUCGAUUGGCCAGGCGAGGCAGGAAGGCGGCGGCGGGAGGAGG